rnacentral:tRNA from 1 species
CAGGACAUAAUUUAAUAAGAAUAUUGGCUUUGGGGGCCAGAUGUAGAGGUUGAACUCCUUUUGUCCUGA